rnacentral:rRNA from 1 species
UACGUAGGGGGCAAGGCGUUGUCCGGAAUUAUUGGGCGUAAAGAGCGUGUAGGCGGCCAGAUAAGUCCGCUGUGAAAUCUCGAGGCUCAACUUCGAGCUGUCGGUGGAAACUAUCUGGCUAGAGUCCGGAAGAGGAGAAUGGAAUUCCUGGUGUAGCGGUGAAAUGCGCAGAUAUCAGGAAGAACACCCGUGGCGAAGGCGGUUCUCUGGGACGGUACUGACGCUGAGACGCGAAAGCGUGGGGAGCGAACAGG